AGUGCCCGAGAGGCAAGGCGGUCGACUUGUAAUGCAAAGAUCCUUGGUUCGAUUCCUGC
rnacentral:tRNA from 13 species